AUGCGGAAUCACUGGGCUUAAAGGGUGCGUAGGCGGCGCGGCAAGUUGGGUGUGAAAUCCCUCGGCUCAACCGAGGAAUUGCGCCCAAAACUUCCGUGCUCGAGGAAGAUAGAGGUGAGCGGAACUUAGGGUGGAGCGGUGAAAUGCGUUGAUAUCCUAAGGAACACCGGUGGCGAAAGCGGCUCACUGGAUCUUUUCUGACGCUGAGGCACGAAAGCUAGGGUAGCGAACGGG
rnacentral:rRNA from 1 species